GACGAACGCUGGCGGCGUGCUUAACACAUGCAAGUCGAACGGAAAGGCCCUGCUUUUGUGGGGUGCUCGAGUGGCGAACGGGUGAGUAACACGUGAGUAACCUGCCCUUGACUUUGGGAUAACUUCAGGAAACUGGGGCUAAUACCGGAUAGGAGCUCCUGCUGCAUGGUGGGGGUUGGAACGUUUCGGCGGUUGGGGAUGGACUCGCGGCUUAUCAGCUUGUUGGUGGGGUAGUGGCUGACCAAGGCUUUGACGGGUAGCCGGCCUGGGAGGGUGACCGGCGACAAUAGGACUAAGGUACGGCGCAGACGCCAACGGGAGGCAGCAGGGGGGAGUAUGGCACAGUGGGCGGAAGCCUGAGACGACAGCGCCGCGGUCGGGAUGACGGCCUGCGGGGUGAGAACCGCUUUCGCCUGAGACGAAGCGGGAGUGACGGUAAUGAGUAAAGAAGCACCGGCUAACUACGUG
rnacentral:rRNA from 1 species